rnacentral:rRNA from 1 species
CAGUCGCCGCGGGAAAACGAAGGGGGCUAGCGUUGCUCGGAAUGACUGGGCGUAAAGGGCGCGUAGGCGGCGGCCAAAGUCAGGCGUGAAAUUCCCGGGCUCAACCUGGGGGCUGCGUUUGAUACUUGGUUGCUUGAGUGGGGAAGAGGGUCGUGGAAUUCCCAGUGUAGAGGUGAAAUUCGUAGAUAUUGGGAAGAACACCGGUGGCGAAGGCGGCGACCUGGUCCUUUACUGACGCUGAGGCGCGAAAGCGUGGGGAGCAAACAGGAUUAGAGACCCGAGUAGUCCCUGUCUCUUAUAC